rnacentral:rRNA from 1 species
GAUGAACGCUGGCGGCGUGCCUAACACAUGCAAGUCGAGCGGACAGAUGAGGAGCUUGCUCCGCUCACGUUAGCGGCGGACGGGUGAGUCACACGUGUAUAACCUCCCUAUCAUACUGGGAUAACUACGGAAAACCGGAUCUAAUACCGGAGAAUAUAUUGAACCGCAUGGUUCAAUAGUGAAAGACGGUUUUGCUGGCACUUAUAGAUGGUUCCGCGCCGCAUUAGCUAGUUGGUAAGGUAACGGCUUACCAAGGCGACGAUGCGUAGACGACCUGAGAGGGUGAUCGGCGACACUGGAACUGAGACACGGUCCAGACUCCUACGGGAGGCAGCAGUCGGGAAUCUGAGGCAAUGGGCGAAAGCCUGACGGAGUGAGGGCGCGUGAGUGAUGAAGGUCUUCGGAUCGUAAAGCUCGGUUAUUAGGGAAGAACAGCUGUGUACUUAGACAUGGACGUCUUGACGGUACCUAAUCAGAAAGCAACGGCUAACUACGUG